rnacentral:tRNA from 1 species
AAGAAGUUAGUUAAACAAUAACAUUAGUAUGUCAUGCUAAAAUUAUUAAUAAAUAAUACGUCUUA